rnacentral:tRNA from 1 species
GAGGGUAUAGCUGAGUGAUAGAGCACAUGCUUAGCAUGCACAAGGCCCUGGGUUCAAUUCCCAGUACUCCCA